AAAUUGAAGAGUUUGAUCAUGGCUCAGAUUGAACGCUGGCGGCAGGCCUAACACAUGCAAGUCGAACGGUAACAGGAAGCAGCUUGCUGCUUCGCUGACGAGUGGCGGACGGGUGAGUAAUGUCUGGGAAACUGCCUGAUGGAGGGGGAUAACUACUGGAAACGGUAGCUAAUACCGCAUAAYGUCGCAAGACCAAAGAGGGGGACCYUCGGGCCUCUUGCCAUCGGAUGUGCCCAGAUGGGAUUAGCUUGUUGGUGGGGUAACGGCUCACCAAGGCGACGAUCCCUAGCUGGUCUGAGAGGAUGACCAGCCACACUGGAACUGAGACACGGUCCAGACUCCUACGGGAGGCAGCAGUGGGGAAUAUUGCACAAUGGGCGCAAGCCUGAUGCAGCCAUGCCGCGUGUAUGAAGAAGGCCUUC
rnacentral:rRNA from 1 species